AAGGGUGGAGAUGGUGAUUUCCCUAGUGGGAAGGAGGGACGCCUGCCCUCUUUCUUGGAGGUUUGAAUGUCCCUAGCUGACCACAGACUGCAGGGUUUCCUUGGAUGAGCAGAAGCCUCCAGCAGCUUCCUCACUUGGCCAGGGCCUGGUAAGACUCACGCCUGGCUUCCUCAGGGGCCCUGGGGGCCACCUACUUAUAAGGGUACUGUGACCCUUUAUCACCCAGCUUCCAUCACGGCCUCAGGGACCCCUGUGCGCUUCCUCAGAUGUCAGCCAGCAAGAUUUAGAACUAAGGAAAAAAAGUGAAACUUAGGUUCUAUUUACUUAUGUCCUGAGGAUUUGUUACUUAUCUAAAAGUUCAUCCCCCUGUGCAUGACCAAACGAGGUAGCAGAAGUGUUGGCCAGUGCUGGAGACGCUACUGACACAUCCCCAAAAGGACCAGAUGAGACCCAGAAAUUGGCCCAAGGAGCUGAGGUCCAUGAUGCACUGAAUGGUGCGAACCAUCACCUCCAAUCCCUGUGAAUGGCGCAAACUUUGAAUGGCGCACCUCCAAUCCCUGAAGGGGCUCGAUCUCUCAGCCAAUGAAGAAGUAACAGCCCACUCGCCCUGCUCCUCCUCAUCCUGCGUUGAGCCCAUAAAUAUCAACACCCUGUUCUCUCUUAAUCUCUUGCUCUCCUCCCUCCCCUCCCCCUCCCCCCUUCUCUUUUGUGACUGCCUGCUACACAGGUAAAAGGUUGUUUUGGCUCCUUGAGUUUAUGGAGCUUUUCCACUGUUCCUACAUUAGGGAUUGAACUCAGAGGUGCUUUACCACUGAGCCACAUCCCCAGACCUUUUUAGUUUUAUUUGUUUUAUUCAGAGACAGGGUCUCACUAAGUUGAUGAGGCUGGCCCCGAGCUUGUGAUCUCCUGCCUCAGAGUCACUGGGAUCAUAGAUAUGUGCCACUGUGCCCAGCUUCUUCUGUGAUUUUGAGUGGAUUAAUGUAUUUGUGUACCUUUAGAUUUAUUUGUCAAUAAACACAUAUUGACACUUUA